AGGUAAUGGCUCACCUAGGCGACGAUCCCUAGCUGGUCUGAGAGGAUGACCAGCCACACUGGAACUGAGACACGGUCCAGACUCCUACGGGAGGCAGCAGUGGGGAAUAUUGCACAAUGGGCGCAAGCCUGAUGCAGCCAUGCCGCGUGUGUGAAGAAGGCCUUCGGGUUGUAAAGCACUUUCAGCGAGGAGGAAGGGUUCNGUGUUAAUAGCACUGUUCAUUGACGUUACUCGCAGAAGAAGCACCGGCUAACUCCGUGCCAGCAGCCGCGGUAAUACGGAGGGUGCAAGCGUUAAUCGGAAUUACUGGGCGUAAAGCGCACGCAGGCGGUUUGUUAAGUCAGAUGUGAAAUCCCCGAGCUUAACUUGGGAACUGCAUUUGAAACUGGCAAGCUAGAGUCUUGUAGAGGGGGGUAGAAUUCCAGGUGUAGCGGUGAAAUGCGUANAGAUCUGGAGGAAUACCGGUGGCGAAGGCGGCCCCCUGGACAAAGACUGACGCUCAGGUGCGAAAAGCGUGGGGAGCAAACAG
rnacentral:rRNA from 1 species